UAAAAAAAACUUAAAUUUCAAUUCAAGCUUCCUAGUAAUGGAACGAAAAUUGAAGUUAUUUGGUGCUAUGAUCCUGUUAUUGGUGCUCUUUUCUACUGAGUUGAGUCCAAAAGUGGUCGGAGAAGCCGAGGUGAGCGUUAGCUUGAAAUGCUUUGGCGAGUUUACGACCCUUGAUGAUUGCAAAGCCACUUGCAAGAAAGAGGACUCUGGUUUAGCGACUCAAAGCAAACUCCAUCCGGGGAAAUGCUGCUGCUUCAAACUCUUCCAUAUAUAAGUAAAAAUAAAAUAAAAUAAUAUUAUGGAUUUUAAAAAUAUCAUGAUUUAAUGAUUGUCAGCAACGUAUUGUAUUAUAUGAUUCUCAUGAGGGUCGAACAUAUAUAUAAAUAAAUAAAUAAUAUUUCUUGGUUUAA